GCGACUUACUGUGGGGUGUAACGGGCUGCUGAGUUUGUGUGUCUUCUUGUUGCCAGGGCUCCCCUGCUCUGCUCUGCUCCGCUCCGCUCCGGCGCUGACGGUGGAAAGCGUCUCCCCUCCUAAUGAUGUCUGCGGCGCACAGCUAAUACCUCUCUGCCCCCACCUCCAGGGAGAAAGAGAAAGAGAGAGGGAGAGACUCACAAAUGGAGCAGUUUGCGAGCUACUCAUGCAAAAAUAUGACACCCAGGGCUCGGAGCAGGGCAAACAGACGCGGAAUUACAGGAGAAGUUCACUGACAGCACCGAUAAGGCGUGGGGAUGUCAAAGCACGUCAUGAGGUCAUGGAGGCUCAAGGAUUCAGAGAAAAGCUGCUCAGCUUGAAGGCAAGGAGUGACAGUCAGCUGACAGCAACCUGGAGGACAUCUCAGCUGUGGACAUUCCUUACACAUUCAAAGACACAAACAAAAGAUGGCCGCAACAAAAAGUGUUAGUAACUAAAAUGUUAUAAGUCUGACCUUAGACUUGCUGUCCUGAAAUGCAUAAAACCUACCCAUCAUAGAUUUUAUGCUGGGUUUUUAAUUUUCUCUCGUUAAAAACUAUAAAUAAAAACAAGAUAAAUAUUUUUGUUCUCCUUUCUGGACGGAUCGAAAGUUUAAUUGUCUCAGCAAUAACAUUUUUAUUGUAAGAUGUUACAGAGCUGCUUAGCACUCCAAGAAAAAAAAUUACACAAUAUCUCACUUGUGAAAAAAAUACUAAAGCUUACUAACCUUAUACUUUUUCCACACACUUGAAAAUGCAGCUUUUCCUUCAAGAUACAUUCAAAAUAAUCAAAUCUGUGCGACAUCCCUAUUAUCACUCAUUUGUACAGACCAAAAAA